CAAGGCAGUGGAUUGUGAAUC
rnacentral:tRNA from 2 species